rnacentral:rRNA from 1 species
AUUGUACGCUGGCGGCAUGCCUUACACAUGCAAGUCGAACGGCAGCACGGGGGCAACCCUGGUGGCGAGUGGCGAACGGGUGAGUAAUACAUCGGAACGUGUCCUGUAGUGGGGGAUAGCCCGGCGAAAGCCGGAUUAAUACCGCAUACGACCUGAGGGAGAAAGCGGGGGAUCUUCGGACCUCGCGCUAUAGGGGCGGCCGAUGGCAGAUUAGCUAGUUGGUGGGGUAAAGGCCUACCAAGGCGAAGAUCUGUAGCUGGUCUGAGAGGACGACCAGCCACACUGGGACUGAGACACGGCCCAGACUCCUACGGGAGGCAGCAGUGGGGAAUUUUGGACAAUGGGGGCAACCCUGAUCCAGCAAUGCCGCGUGUGUGAAGAAGGCCUUCGGGUUGUAAAGCACUUUUGUCCGGAAAGAAAACUUCGUCCCUAAUAUGGAUGGAGGAUGACGGUACCGGAAGAAUAAGCACCGGCUAACUACGUGCCAGCCGCCGCGGUAA